rnacentral:lncRNA from 1 species
CUCACAGGGCACGAAAAGCCAAUUGGAGAGGGAGCAGAAUCCUAUCAAUAUCAAAGCAAGGGACCCCACCCACCCAACAAAAAGACCUCAUACCUGUAUUUGAUAAGAAGGGAGAGGAAAGGAGCAAGGUGAAAGAACUUUGGCCUAGAAAUCCUAUGAAAUAGCCUUAAGACUCCCUCUAGGUCACAUCUUGAUGUUGGCCAAGCCAUGUCCCUUCUCUGGGCCUGACUAGGCCAUCACCAGUGAGGGUACCGGUGACAUCUGGGGAAUUUGACCCUAGAUCUUUAUGAUGACAUAGAUAAGUUUUCUCCCUCUACCUCGUUCACCAUGGCAUCAAAACAGUGAACCAUUCCAAGCUAGUGUUUCUGAAAAUAUGACCUUCAAAAUUGAGAAUGUCUCAAGAGUCAGGCAUUUUGUGCAAACAGAAAAGGAAGGUGAAGUACCAUAGUAAAGAUUAGCUUUGCUCCACGUGAGGCAGAAAACUGUGUUUCUAGUCAGCUGAUGGGAGUCAGGAGAAAGGGGAGAAGAAAGACUGGCUGCAGGAAGAAAGGGAGGAGAAGAGAAGUAAAUAAAAGAGGGAAGAGAGGGAUGGAGGCAGAAGAGGGACAGUGGCUUGGAGUGAGGAGAAGUGAAGUGGUUCACUAGAAGAGAACCAAAAAGACAGAGGAAAGAGGGAAGUGAAAAUGGCCUCGCCCUCAGCUUCUGCUUCUGGGGCCCUCUGCCUCCAGCCUCCCCGCUCACCCAGCUCUACUCUGGGCCAAGAGCAGCUGGGGUCCCUCCUUCCAUGGUGCCAGGUGAGGACAGUGCUCUGCAGGCACCUGGGGGCAGUUUGGAGCCUAAUCCUGGCUGGGAUCCUGGGACUGUGGCACGGGGACCCUCCUGCUCCUUGAACACCAUUCGGGCCUAGCCUCCACUCCAGACACUUUCCGUGCAACUUGACCAGAACAAAUCCACACCUGUCACCCACCACCAGGAGCUUCCACCCUUCGAUUCCCUCCUGGGAACUUCACAUAGGCCUGAUAUGCUUUCUCUGCACCAAAGCCUCCCUCUUAGGUGGCUCAGUUAGCACCAGGACUCAGCUGUGCCGCUCAUC